rfam:Papilio xuthus contig16479, whole genome shotgun sequence.
UAAAGUCAAUGGUCCAAAUUACUCAUUUUGUCUCGGGAAGGUCUGAGUAAAGGUCGCUAGUUGUUUUUCCUACUCUUCUAGAAGGGAGCAUUGCCAAUAGCAAUGACAGAGGCACCAGAGACAUAAGCCUAGGGCUAGUUUAGGACUCCUAGGAUGAGACGUAACCCUAAGUGCUGUUGAAAGUUCCUCUGUGACCGGCUGUUUUAGAUCGAUUUGUGACACAGCAAUGCUGUAACUCGAUUCAGACUAGUCUUUA